rnacentral:rRNA from 1 species
GGCAGGCCUAACACAUGCAAGUCGAGCGCACUCUUCGGAGUGAGCGGCGGACGGGUUAGUAACGCGUGGGAACAUACCCUUUUCUACGGAAUAGCCUCGGGAAACUGAGAGUAAUACCGUAUACGCCCUUCGGGGGAAAGAUUUAUCGGAGAAGGAUUGGCCCGCGUUUGAUUAGAUAGUUGGUGGGGUAACGGCCUACCAAGUCUACGAUCAAUAGCUGGUUUGAGAGGAUGAUCAGCAACACUGGGACUGAGACACGGCCCAGACUCCUACGGGAGGCAGCAGUGGGGAAUCUUAGACAAUGGGCGCAAGCCUGAUCUAGCCAUGCCGCGUGAGUGACGAAGGCCUUAGGGUCGUAAAGCUCUUUCGCCAGGGAUGAUAAUGACAGUACCUGGUAAAGAAACCCCGGCUAACUCCGUGCCAGCAGCCGCGGUAAUACGGAGGGGGUUAGCGUUGUUCGGAAUUACUGGGCGUAAAGCGCACGUAGGCGGAUUGGAAAGUAGGGGGUGAAAUCCCGGGGCUCAACCCCGGAACUGCCUCCUAAACUAUCAGUCUAGAGUUCGAGAGAGGUGAGUGGAAUUCCAAGUGUAGAGGUGAAAUUCGUAGAUAUUUGGAGGAACACCAGUGGCGAAGGCGGCUCACUGGCUCGAUACUGACGCUGAGGUGCGAAAGUGUGGGGAGCAAACAGGAUUAGAUACCCUGGUAGUCCACACCGUAAACGAUGAAUGCC